rnacentral:rRNA from 1 species
GAUGAACGCUAGCGGCAGGCUUAAUACAUGCAAGUCGAGGGGCAGCAGGACUGUAGCAAUACAGUUGCUGGCGACCGGCAAACGGGUGCGGAACACGUACGCAACCUACCCAAAACUGGGGAAUAGCCCGGGGAAACCCGGAUUAAUACCUCGUAACAUAAUGAUGUGGCAUCACAUUAUUAUUAUAGCUCCGGCGGUUUUGGAUGGGCGUGCGCCUGAUUAGGUAGNGGCGGGGUAACGGCCCACCAAGCCUGCGAUCAGUAACUGGUGUGAGAGCACGACCAGUCACACGGGCACUGAGACACGGGCCCGACUCCUACGGGAGGCAGCAGUAAGGAAUAUUGGUCAAUGGACGCAAGUCUGAACCAGCCAUGCCGCGUGGAGGAUUAAGGCCCUCUGGGUUGUAAACUCCUUUUAUCUGGGAANAAAUGCUAUUUUUUCUAAAGUGCUUGACGGUACCAGAGGAAUAAGCACCGGCUAACUCCGUGCCAGCCGCCGCC